rnacentral:rRNA from 1 species
GAUGAACGCUAGCGGCAGGCUUAAUACAUGCAAGUCGAGGGGCAGCAUAAGUAGCAAUACUUGAUGGCGACCGGCAAACGGGUGCGGAACACGUACGCAACCUUCCUUUAAGUGGGGAAUAGCCCGGGGAAACCCGGAUUAAUACCCCGUAAUAUUAUGAUGUGGCAUCACAUUAUAAUUAUAGAUUCAUCGCUUAAAGAUGGGCGUGCGCCUGAUUAGGUAGUUGGCGGAGUAAUAGCCCACCAAGCCUGCGAUCAGUAACUGGUGUGAGAGCACGACCAGUCACACGGGCACUGAGACACGGGCCCGACUCCUACGGGAGGCAGCAGUAAGGAAUAUUGGUCAAUGGACGCAAGUCUGAACCAGCCAUGCCGCGUGGAGGAUGAAGGUCCUCUGGAUUGUAAACUUCUUUUAUUGGGAAGAAUGUGAUGAUUCUUUAUCACUUGACGGUACCAGAUGAAUAAGCACC